rnacentral:rRNA from 1 species
GAUCAACGCUGGCGGCGUGCCUAAUACAUGCAAGUCGAGCGAACAGACGAGGAGCUUGCUCCUCUGACGUUAGCGGCGGACGGGUGAGUAACACGUGGUUAACCUACCUAUAAGACUGGGAUAACUUCGGGAAACCGGAGCUAAUACCGGAUAAUAUAUUGAACCGCAUGGUUCAAUAGUGAAAGACGGUUUUGCUGUCACUUAUAGAUGGAUCCGCGCCGCAUUAGCUAGCUGGUAAGGUAACGGCUUACCAAGGCAACGAUGCGUAGCCGACCUGAGAGGGUGAUCGGCCACACUGGAACUGAGACACGGUCCAGACUCCUACGGGAGGCAGCAGUAGGGAAUCUUCCGCAAUGGGCGAAAGCCUGACGGAGCAACGCCGCGUGAGUGAUGAAGGUCUUCGGAUCGUAAAACUCUGUUAUUAGGGAAGAACAAAUGUGUAAGUAACUAUGCACGUCUUGACGGUACCUAAUCAGAAAGCCACGGCUAACUACGUG